GCAGCAACCUACUGUGAAGAUCCUGGAGGAUUUUAGUGUCCGCACUCUGUAUGAUAAACUGGAAGACCAGAAUCUCCAUCUGGCGUAUCAGCUACGCAGACACAGGAUGGAUGCUUUGGCCUUUUACAAAAGCAUUGCCCAGUAGAUCCAAGGGUUAAAGGUCAGAACCAAGAGGCCCUGGUCCAGAUGGAAACUGUCUUCCUUGGGAAAGGAAACACUCUGAAGAAAGAUAAUUUCCUCCAUCAGGAUUUUCUGCAAAGAAUAAUCUCAGUUGAGCAGCUUGGCCUGCAGACUAAAGCCAUCCCUGAGCCUGAGUUGGAAACCAUCACUAGGGCAGACACUGGAUACAGUCAAAAUUCCUGGGAUGGUGACAUCAGAGUGUUUUGGGGAAUGAACCAUAGGUAAUGCCUGGGUGAGAGAAGUCAGAACGAUGAACUCCUGAAGACCCCACCAUCUUUCCUCCCUGAAGUGCACGAGAUGCAGAAGGCAGAGGGAAUGGAGGUGACAGAACAGACACUGGACAAGAACAAGGCAAGGGAACAUUCGCUGGUCAGUUUGCAGAUGGAAGAGGCUGCACAAGGGCAGGUGGUGGCCAGAAGCAUGUUUACAACUGCACACUGAGACUCAGAUCAACUUUGAAAUUACAGAGAAUCUAGGCCCAACUGAAUGGAGCCAAAUGGUGGAUGAAGGGACCACAAC